GUUGCUGUAGCUUAAACUAAAGUAUAGCACUGAAAAUGCUAAGAUGGUUCAACCCUCCAACA
rnacentral:tRNA from 1 species